rnacentral:rRNA from 1 species
AGAGCGAACGCUGGCGGCAGGCCUAAUACAUGCAAGUCGAACGAACCCUUCGGGGUUAGUGGCGGACGGGUGAGUAACACGUGGGAACGUGCCCUUUGGUUCGGAACAACUCAGGGAAACUUGAGCUAAUACCGGAUAAGCCCUUCGGGGGAAAGAUUUAUCGCCAUUGGAGCGGCCCGCGUCUGAUUAGCUAGUUGGUGAGGUAAAGGCUCACCAAGGCUUUGAUCAGUAGCUGGUCUGAGAGGAUGAUCAGCCACACUGGGACUGAGACACGGCCCAGACUCCUACGGGAGGCAGCAGUAGGGAAUCUUGCGCAAUGGGCGAAAGCCUGACGCAGCCAUGCCGCGUGAAUGAUGAAGGUCUUAGGAUUGUAAAAUUCUUUCAGCGGGGACGAUAAUGACGGUACCCGCAGAAGAACGCCCCGGCUAACUCGCGCCAGCAGCCGC